UACGUAGGUGGCAAGCGUUGUCCGGAUUUAUUGGGUUUAAAGGGUGCGUAGGCGGCCCUGUAAGUCAGUGCUGAAAUACCCCGGCUUAACCGGGGGGUGGCAUUGAUACUGCAGGGCUUGAGUACAGAUGAGGUAGGCGGAAUUGACGGUGUAGCGGUGAAAUGCAUAGAUAUCGUCAAGAACACCGAUAGCGAAGGCAGCUUACUGGGCUGUAACUGACGCUGAUGCACGAAAAGUGUGGGGAUCAAACAGG
rnacentral:rRNA from 1 species